GGGCAGGUGGGGGCCCUGCCCAUGCUCUAAGGCACACGGAGGCCAAGCCAAGUGCCCAGGUGAGAUCAACCCCAUCCUUCUCCCAACAUGGACCCGCUGCUGCCAUGAGCCGAGGGGCUACGGCCAGACCGCGGUGAUGGUGGCACUGGGUGCCAGGGGUUCACCGAGGGCUGGCAGCCCCCGGCUGCUCCUCUCUGGCCUGGGGUGGGGGGAGGCCAGGUGUGCAGGGCUGUCCCCUGUGCCCCGGGAGCGGGCAUUGGGCUGGGACAGCCCUGCAAAGGCAGGCUGGGCACCGCUGCCCGCACCACUGCGACUAAGCCAGAACCUGCCGAGACAGAGCUGGGCCCAGCUUAGCUCAGCUACCACAAGGUAACAGGCAGCGAGUCUCCCCCAGACAGCGGGUCAGCUCUGGGGAGCCACCGCAUGCCGGCCCCAUCGCCUGUCCUGU